rnacentral:rRNA from 1 species
AGUGAACGCUGGCGGUAGGCCUAACACAUGCAAGUCGAACGGCAGCACAGUAAGAGCUUGCUCUUACGGGUGGCGAGUGGCGGACGGGUGAGGAAUACAUCGGAAUCUACUUUUUCGUGGGGGAUAACGUAGGGAAACUUACGCUAAUACCGCAUACGACCUACGGGUGAAAGCAGGGGAUCUUCGGACCUUGCGCGAUUGAAUGAGCCGAUGUCGGAUUAGCUAGUUGGCGGGGUAAAGGCCCACCAAGGCGACGAUCCGUAGCUGGUCUGAGAGGAUGAUCAGCCACACUGGAACUGAGACACGGUCCAGACUACUACGGGAGGCAGCAGUGGGGAAUAUUGGACAAUGGGCGCAAGCCUGAUCCAGCCAUACCGCGUGGGUGAAGAAGGCCUUCGGGUUGUAAAGACCUUUUGUUGGGAAAGAGAAGCAGCAGGUUAAUACCCCGCUGUUCUGACGGUACCCAAAGAAUAAGCACCGGCUAACUUCGUG